rnacentral:rRNA from 1 species
GUGGUCGGUGGACAGGUGGUGCAUGGUUGUCGUCAGCUCGUGUCGUGAGAUGUUGGGUUAAGUCCCGCAACGAGCGCAACCCUCGUCCCUAUGUUGCCAGCGGGUCAUGCCGGGGACUCAUGGGAGACUGCCGGGGUCAACUCGGAGGAAGGUGGGAUGACGUCAAAUCAUCAUGCCCCUUAUGUCUUGGGCUUCACGCAUGCUACAAUGGCCGGUACAAAGGGCUGCGAUACCGCGAGGUGGAGCGAAUCCCAGAAAGCCGGUCUCAGUUCGGAUUGGGGUCUGCAACUCGACCCCAUGAAGUCGGAGUCGCUAGUAAUCGCAGAUCAGCAACGCUGCGGUGAAUACGUUCCCGGGCCUU